rnacentral:lncRNA from 1 species
CUGAGGUAGGUGACUAAAUUGGAACCAAGUAAUUUGAUGAACUCAGAUGUGUGAGCUUCAUUUGUGACACAUGGAGCUACCAUAUAUCAUGCAUAACUUUCAAACUGACGUAGAUCAGGUAUAUGCUUUCUUUCGACCAUAUACCGCUCAAAGGUGGGCUCGGUUUGUAUCUUUUGCACGAAAGAAUGAUUGUUUCUUUUGCUGCCAUCGAAUUGCAUCCACAUAGAUCUUAAAGCAUUCUAAACUCUUUCUUUUAUCCAUUUGCACAAAUCUCAAAAUAGUCAUUGCACGGUCUGACAAGAAUCUGUGCGAAGAAAAUUGAAUUCUUCUUUCAUAGGAAAGAUGCAAUCCAUACUUUUCAAAGAAGAUAUGUCUGGUUGAGAGAAGUUAGACUAUAGAAUAGAAAUAGGAAUGAGUGAUUUUUAUUCUAGCCAUUUGGUUGGCGAGAGUUUCUUUUCCAUAUCGAUUCAAAGGAAGAAUAGAAGUGCUCCAACCCACCAAAAUUUAAUCUUAACUUUUUCUUAGUGUUUGAAUCCCAUUUUGAUUUUUAUUUCGAUUUGAUUCCGAUUGCGAGUCAAACACAUCUUUGCAUUGGACCAUACAAAUUUGGGCCAAUUUAGGCCAAUGGGACCCACUGAACAGAUAAUUGAUCCUUCACCGUAGGUGUCUGCAUCUACUAACCCAAUCAAAUCCAAAGCCAGUAGAGUUGGAAGUACACGGGACGCUGACCACCGAACACGGUAGGCCACUCGGACC